rnacentral:rRNA from 1 species
AGGGCGUACGGUGGAUGCCUUGGCGAUAUCAGCCGAAGAAGGACGCGGUAAGCUGCGAUAAGCUACGGAGAGGUGCAAGCAACCUUUGACCCGUAGAUUUCCGAAUGGGGGAACCCGGCAGUGGUUAUGCACUGUCACCCAUAGCUUAGACUAUGAGGAGGGCACCUGGGGAACUGAAACAUCUAAUUACCCAGAGGAAAAGUAAUCAAACGAGAUUUUCUUAGUAGCGGCGAGCGAACGGGAAAGAGGCCAAACCGGAGCGGGCAACCGCACCGGGGUUGAGGACAGUCAUCAAGUGUAAAUGAGGUAGAAGAAUCGAGCUGGAAAGCUCAGCCGAAGAAGGUGAAAGCCCUGUAAUCGAAACCUUGCAUACAUGGGACUGUAUCCAGAGUACCACGAGACACGUGAAACCUUGUGGGAAGCAGGGGGGACCACCCUCCAAGCCAAAAUACUGAUAUCGACCGAUAGCGCAUAGUACCGUGAGGGAAAGGUGAAAAGAACCCCUGGCGGGGAGUGAAAGAGAACCUGAAACCGUAUGUCUACAAACAGUCGAAGUCUGUAUAUAUAUCAGGACGACGGCGUGCCUAUUGAAGAAUGAACCGACGAGUUACUGUUGCUAGCGAGGUUAAGUGGAAAACAUGGAGCCGCAGCGAAAGCGAGUCUGAACAGGGCGUUCAGUUAGUAAUAGUAGACCCGAAACCGUAGUGAUCUAUCCAUGGCCAGGUUGAAGCACAGGUAAAAUUGUGUGGAGGACCGAACUCGUGAGCGUUGAAAAGCUUUGGGAUGAGUUGUGGAUAGGGGUGAAAUGCCAAUCGAACACGGAGAUAGCUGGUUCUCCCCGAAAUAGCUUUAGGGCUAGCCUCGAGGUAGAGAGUAUAGGCGGUAGAGCACUGAUCGGGCUAGGGGCCAUACCGGUUACCGAACCUAGUCAAACUACGAAUGGCUAUACUUAUACUCGGGAGUCAGACAGUGAAUGAUAAGGUCCAUUGUCAAGAGGGAAACAGCCCAGAACACCGACUAAGGUCCCAAAUGUUACACUAAGUGGCGAAGGAUGUGGAAUUUCCAAAACAACCAGGAUGUUGGCUUAGAAGCAGCCACCAUUUAAAGAGUGCGUAAUAGCUCACUGGUCGAGAGACUCUGCGCCGAAAAUGUCCGGGGCUAAAGUGUAAAACCGAAGUCGUGUCAUAUGCAGCAAUGUAUAUGGGUAGGGGAGCGUUCUCAUCGGGCUGAAGCAGUACCGUAAGGAGUUGUGGACUGAUGAGAAGUGAGAAUGUCGGUAUGAGUAGCGAAAAGAAUGGUGAGAAUCCAUUCCACCGAAAGCCUAAGGGUUCCUGAGCAACGAUCGUCGUCUCAGGGUAAGUCGGGACCUAAGCCGAGGCGGAAAAGCGUAGGCGAUGGACAACAGGUUGAAAUUCCUGUACCGGUGUGAAUCGUUUGAUCGAUGGAGUGACACAGUAAGGUAGGUCAGCACGCGAUUGGAAGUGCGUGUUUAAGCAGGUAGGUUGAGCUAUAGGCAAAUCCGUAGCUCUAAAAGCUGAGAUGUGAUGACGAGUUACUAGCGAUAGUAACGAAGUGAUUGAUCCUACACUGUCGAGAAAAGCUUCUAGGUAGAGACACAUCGCCCGUACCAAAACCGACACAGGUAGGCGGGGAGAGAAUCCUAAGGUGCGCGGGAAAACCCUCGUUAAGGAACUCGGCAAAAUGCCUCCGUAACUUCGGGAAAAGGAGGACUCAUGUAGUGUGAAGAGCAGAAGCGCUUGGAGCAUGAAUGAGUGGCACAAGAGAGGCGCAAGCGACUGUUUACCACAAACACAGGUGCCUGCUAAAGCGAAAGCUGAUGUAUAGGUGCUGACACCUGCCCGGUGCUGGAAGGUUAAGAGGAGGGGUUAGACUUCGGUCGAAGCUCUGAAUUGAAGCCCCAGUAAACGGCGGCCGUAACUAUAACGGUCCUAAGGUAGCGAAAUUCCUUGUCGGGUAAGUUCCGACCCGCACGAAAGGUGUAACGACUUGCGCACUGUCUCAACGAGGGACCCGGUGAAAUUGAAGUACCUGUGAAGAUGCAGGUUACCCGCGACUGGACAGAAAGACCCCAUGGAGCUUUACUGCAACCUAAGAUUGAACUUAGUUAAUGAAUGUACAGGAUAGGUGGGAGACGUAGAACCUAGGACGCCAGUUUUAGGGGAGUCGCUGUUGGGAUACCACCCUUUCAUUAAUUGAUUUCUAACGGGCCGAGUAACGACCGGCCGGACAGUCUUAGGCGGGCAGUUUGACUGGGGCGGUCGCCUCCUAAAGAGUAACGGAGGCGCCCAAAGGU